rnacentral:ncRNA from 2 species
AUCUUAUCUAGAGUGGCGGAGGGACUAGGCCCUGCGAAGCCCGGCAACCUUCAAGCAACGUGUGCUUGAGUGGUGCUACAUCCUACAGGUCUGUGGAUCUGGAAGAUAAGAU